UACGGGGGGAGCAAGCGUUGUUCGGAUUUACUGGGCGUAAAGGGCGCGUGGGCGGCCUCCGCAAGUCGACUGUGAAAUCUCCGGGCUUAACCCGGAACGGUCAGCCGAUACUGCGGGCUAGAGUGCAGAAGGGCAACUGGAAUUCUCGGUGUAGCGGUGAAAUGCGUAGAUAUCGAGAGGAACACCUGCGGCGAAGGCGGGUUGCUGGCUGACACUGACGCUGAUGCGCGAAAGCUAGGGGAGCGAACGGG
rnacentral:rRNA from 1 species